rnacentral:rRNA from 1 species
UAGGGAAUCUUCCACAAUGGGCGAAAGCCUGAUGGGGCAACGCCGCGUGUGUGAUGAAGGGUUUCGGCUCGUAAAACACUGUUGUAAGAGAAGAAUGACAUUGAGAGUAACUGUUCAAUGUGUGACGGUAUCUUACCAGAAAGGAACGGCUAAAUACGUGCCGG